rnacentral:rRNA from 1 species
AGAACGAACGCUGGCGGCAGGCUUAACACAUGCAAGUCGAGCGCCCCGCAAGGGGAGCGGCAGACGGGUGAGUAACGCGUGGGAAUCUACCCAUCACUACGGAGCAACUCCGGGAAACUGGAGCUAAUACCGUAUACGUCCUUCGGAGAAAGAUUUAUCGGUGAUGGAUGAGCCCGCGUUGGAUUAGCUAGUUGGUGGGGUAAUGGCCUACCAAGGCGACGAUCCAUAGCUGGUCUGAGAGGAUGAUCAGCCACAUUGGGACUGAGACACGGCCCAAACUCCUACGGGAGGCAGCAGUGGGGAAUAUUGGACAAUGGGCGAAAGCCUGAUCCAGCCAUGCGCGUGAGUGAUGAAGGCCCUAGGGUUAGUAAAGGCUCGUUUCAAACGGUGAAAGAUAAUGAACGGUAACCGUAGAAGAAGCCCGCUAACUCGUAGCCAGCAGCCGC